AACUUGUUCAACGGUUCUGACUGACAUUAAAUUGGUGAGGUGACACCGAAUCCUGUCUUCACUAAGCUACCCUGGUAAGGUUUGUCAAUUUCUCCCUAAAAUUGGCUGGCGCUCGAGAUACUACUGCAAAGUGCCGAAGGGCAAUUGGCAGAAGCG